rnacentral:piRNA from 1 species
UUUUCUGAGUCAUGCUCUG